rnacentral:rRNA from 1 species
UCCUGCAGUCGACGGCAGCGCGGGGGCAACCCUGGCGGCGAGUGGCGAACGGGUGAGUAAUACAUCGGAACGUGUCCUGGAGUGGGGGAUAGCCCGGCGAAAGCCGGAUUAAUACCGCAUACGCUCUAUGGAGGAAAGCGGGGGAUCUUCGGACCUCGCGCUCAAGGGGCGGCCGAUGGCAGAUUAUCUAGUUGGUGGGGUAAAGGCCUACCAAGGCGACGAUCUGUAGCUGGUCUGAGAGGACGACCAGCCACACUGGGACUGAGACACGGCCCAGACUCCUACGGGAGGCAGCAGUGGGGAAUUUUGGACAAUGGGGGCAACCCUGAUCCAGCAAUGCCGCGUGUGUGAAGAAGGCCUUCNGGUUGUAAAGCACUUUUGUCCGGAAAGAAAACCGCUUCUCUAAUACAGAGGUGGGAUGACGGUACCNGAAGAAUAAGCACCGGCUAACUACGUGCCAGCAGCCGCGGUAAUACGUAGGGUGCAAGCGUUAAUCGGAAUUACUGGGCGUAAAGCGUGCGCAGGCGGUUCGCUAAGACCGAUGUGAAAUCCCCGGGCUUAACCUGGGAACUGCAUUGGUGACUGGCGGGCUAGAGUAUGGCAGAGGGGGGUAGAAUUCCACGUGUAGCAGUGAAAUGCGUAGAGAUGUGGAGGAAUACCGAUGGCGAAGGCAGCCCCCUGGGCCAAUACUGACGCUCAUGCACGAAAGCGUGGGGAGCUAACAUGAUUAGAUACCCUGGUAGUCCACGCCCUAAACGAUGUCAACUAGUUGUCGGGUCUUCAUUGACUUGGUAACGAAACUAACGCGUGAAGUUGACCGCCUGGGGAGUACGGUCGCAUUAUUAAAACU